GCAUAACUGAACCUUUGUACUGGAGGAGCAGCCAGCCCGAAUUUUAUUAACAUCUUCAAGCUCAACAAAAGUUUGCUUGGUCAUAACCCUGAGAAAACCAUGGAGGUGGCAUCUGAAACAUGGGAUUGAUAUGUCUAUACCCCUAUAGCCAUCUGGACAGCUGCACUCCAGGUCUGAUGUGAGGUUCACAGGCUACAGUUGAGAAGGACCAACUUGUGGAGUUUCAAUCUCAGCAGGUAGAGCCCUUUAGAAUUCACAAUUAGCAUGUGCAUUUCAUAGCCCUUCUUCCUG
rnacentral:lncRNA from 1 species